GGGGGGGGGGGGGGGGGGGGGGGGCGGGGGGGGGGGGGGCGGGGAGCGACGGAGGCGGGCGGCUGGGGAUCGUAGUGGCGGACGGGUGAGGAGCGCUUAAUCAACCGGGCCUUCGGAGGGGGGCAAGACGGGGCGGCGCCUGCGACUACCGCAUACGAGCGCACCCCGGCCUGGCGUGCAGUGGAACGGUGGCCUCCACCUGUACGCUGUCACUGCAGGGGGGGAUUGCGUCUGCUUAGCUAGUGGGAGGGGUCACGGCACAGCAAGGCGAUGAUCAGUAGCCGGUCUGAGAGGAUGAACGGCCACAUUGGGACUGAGACACGGCCCAGACUCCUACGGGAGGCAGCAGUGGGGAAUCUUCCGCAAUGGACGAAAGUCUGACGGAGCAACGCCGCGUGAGUGAUGACGGCCGUCGGGUUGUAAAGCUCUGUUAAUCGGGACGAAAGGCCUUCUUGCGAAUAGGGAGAAGGAUUGACGGUACCGGAAUAGAAAGCCACGGCUAACUACGUG
rnacentral:rRNA from 1 species